rnacentral:misc_RNA from 1 species
GUCAAUUCAGGCACAGAGGCUUGCAUGGGUGUGCUUCGCCUAGCCCGUGCCUUCACUCGACGGGAGAAGCUUAUCAAGUUUGAGGGUUGUUACCAUGGCCAUGCUGAUCCUUUCCUUGUCAAGGCAGGAAGUGGUGUUGCUACAUUAGGUCUGCCAGACUCUCCUGGUGUCCCCAGAGCAGCAACCUAUGAAACUCUAACAGCCCCCUUCAAUGACUUGGCCGCAGUGGAAAAACUUUUUGAGGCAAAUAAAGGAGAGAUUGCAGCAAUAAUACUCGAACCUGUUGUUGGAAAUUCUGGUUUUAUUGCACCUAAACCAGAAUUCCUUGAUGCCAUCUGCAGGAUAACCAAAGAAAAUAAUGCACUUCUAAUAUUCGAUGAAGUUAUGACUGGAUUCCGUUUGUCAUACGGUGGAGCUCAGGAGUAUUUUGGCAUAACACCUGAUCUAACAACGCUGGGGAAGAUCAUUGGUGGGGGUCUACCAGUUGGUGCAUAUGGGGGAAGGAGGGAGAUUAUGGAGAUGGUUGCACCUGCAGGACCAAUGUAUCAGGCUGGGACUUUGAGUGGGAAUCCAUUGGCAAUGACUGCAGGGAUACACACCCUAAAGCGGUUGCAGGAACCAGGAAGUUAUGAAUACUUGGAUAAGAUCACAGGUGAACUUGUGCAAGGAAUUCUGGAUGCUGGCAAGAGGGCUGGGCAUGCUAUGUGUGGCGGGCAUAUCAGUGGGAUGUUUGGCUUUUUCCUUCACAGAAGGACCCGUUUACAACUUCAGUGAUGCAAAGAAAAGUGACGCUGCAAAAUUUGCCAGGUUUUACCAAGGAAUGCUGGAGGAAGGUGUAUACUUUGCGCCUUCACAAUUUGAGGCUGGAUUUACAAGCUUGGCACAUUCUGCUGAAGACAUCCAACAUACAAUAACAGCAGC